GAUAACAUUGAGUGAUGGCGACGGGUGAGUAACACGUGGUAACCUGCCCUAAAGUGGGGGAUAACAUUUGGAAACAGAUGCUAAUACCGCAUAAAACCUAACACCGCAUGGUGUAGGGUUGAAGGAUGGUUUCGGCUAUCACUUUAGGAUGGACCCGCGGUGCAUUAGUUAGUUGGUGAGGUAAAGGCUCACCAAGACCGUGAUGCAUAGCCGACCCGAGAGGGUAAUCGGCCACACUGGGACUGAGACACGGCCCAGACUCCUACGGGAGGCAGCAGUAGGGAAUCUUCCACAAUGGACGAAAGUCUGAUGGAGCAACGCCGCGUGAGUGAAGAAGGUUUUCGGAUCGUAAACUCUGUUGUUGGAGAAGAAUGUAUCUGAUAGUAACUGAUCAGGUAGUGACGGUAUCCAACCAGAAAGCCACGGCUAACUACGUG
rnacentral:rRNA from 1 species